rnacentral:rRNA from 1 species
UACGUAGGAUCCGAGCGUUAUCCGGAGUGACUGGGCGUAAAGAGUUGCGUAGGUGGCAAUGUAAGCGAAUGAUGAAAUCGUGUGGCUCAACCAUACUGCUAUUAUUUGAACUGCAUUGCUUGAGAACAGGAGAGGUAGAUGGAAUUCCCAGUGUAGGAGUGAAAUCCGCAGAUAUUGGGAGGAACACCAAUGGCGUAGGCAGUCUACUGGCCUGUUUCUGACACUGAGGCACGAAAGCGUGGGGAGCGAACCGG